rnacentral:rRNA from 1 species
GCUUGCUACAGGCUUAACACAUGCAAGUCGAGGGGCAGCAUGGUCCUAGCUUGCUAAGGCCGAUGGCGACCGGCGCACGGGUGAGUAACACGUAUCCAACCUGCCGUCUACUCUUGGACAGCCUUCUGAAAGGAAGAUUAAUACAAGAUGGCAUCAUGAGUCCGCAUGUUCACAUGAUUAAAGGUAUUCCGGUAGACGAUGGGGAUGCGUUCCAUUAGAUAGUAGGCGGGGUAACGGCCCACCUAGUCUUCGAUGGAUAGGGGUUCUGAGAGGAAGGUCCCCCACAUUGGAACUGAGACACGGUCCAAACUCCUACGGGAGGCAGCAGUGAGGAAUAUUGGUCAAUGGGCGAGAGCCUGAACCAGCCAAGUAGCGUGAAGGAUGACUGCCCUAUGGGUUGUAAACUUCUUUUAUAAAGGAAUAAAGUCGGGUAUGCAUACCCGUUUGCAUGUACUUUAUGAAUAAGGAUCGGCUAACUCCGUGCCAGCAGCCGCGGUAAUACGGAGGAUCCGAGCGUUAUCCGGAUUUAUUGGGUUUAAAGGGAGCGUAGAUGGAUGUUUAAGUCAGUUGUGAAAGUUUGCGGCUCAACCGUAAAAUUGCAGUUGAUACUGGAUAUCUUGAGUGCAGUUGAGGCAGGCGGAAUUCGUGGUGUAGCGGUGAAAUGCUUAGAUAUCACGAAGAACUCCGAUUGCGAAGGCAGCCUGCUAAGCUGCAACUGACAUUGAGGCUCGAAAGUGUGGGUAUCAAACAGGAUUAGAUACCCUGGUAGUCCACACGGUAAACGAUGAAUACUCGCUGUUUGCGAUAUACGGCAAGCGGCCAAGCGAAAGCGUUAAGUAUUCCACCUGGGGAGUACGCCGGCAACGGUGAAACUCAAAGGAAUUGACGGGGGCCCGCACAAGCGGAGGAACAUGUGGUUUAAUUCGAUGAUACGCGAGGAACCUUACCCGGGCUUAAAUUGCAGAUGAAUUACGGUGAAAGCCGUAAGCCGCAAGGCAUCUGUGAAGGUGCUGCAUGGUUGUCGUCAGCUCGUGCCGUGAGGUGUCGGCUUAAGUGCCAUAACGAGCGCAACCCUUGUUGUCAGUUACUAACAGGUUCCGCUGAGGACUCUGACAAGACUGCCAUCGUAAGAUGUGAGGAAGGUGGGGAUGACGUCAAAUCAGCACGGCCCUUACGUCCGGGGCUACACACGUGUUACAAUGGGGGGUACAGAGGGCCGCUACCACGCGAGUGGAUGCCAAUCCCCAAAACCUCUCUCAGUUCGGACUGGAGUCUGCAACCCGACUCCACGAAGCUGGAUUCGCUAGUAAUCGCGCAUCAGCCACGGCGCGGUGAAUACGUUCCCGGGCCUUGUACACACCGCCCGUCAAGCCAUGGGAGCCGGGGGUACCUGAAGUGCGUAACCGCGAGGAGCGCCCUAGGGUAAAACUGGUGACUGGGGCUA